rnacentral:rRNA from 1 species
UACAGAGGGGGCUAGCGUUGUUCGGAAUUACUGGGCGUAAAGGGCGCGUAGGUGGCCUGUUAAGUCGAACGUGAAAAUCCCCCGGGCUCAACCCGGGAACUGCGUCCGAGACUGGCAGGCUCGAAUCCGGGAGAGGGAUGUGGAAUUCCAGGUGUAGCGGUGAAAUGCGUAGAUAUCUGGAGGAACACCGGUGGCGAAGGCGGCAGUCCUGGACCGGUAUUGACGCUGAGGCGCGAAAGCCAGGGGAGCAAAGCGGG